GAUGAAGAACGCAGUGAAAUGCGAUAAGUAGUGUGAAUUGCAGAAUUCAGUGAAUCAUCGAAUCUUUGAACGCACAUUGCGCCCUUUGGUAUUCCUUAGGGCAUGCCUGUUCGAGCGUCAUUUAAACCUUCAAGCUCAGCUUGGUGAUGGGUGACUGUCCUCCCCUCGCGGGGGGACUCGCCUCAAAAACAUUGGCGGCCGGUACAUUGGCUUCGAGCGCAGCAGAAACGCGGUCUCGAGCCCGGUGGAUCGGCUCCCAUAAGUCUAUUCUUUUAUUUUGACCUCGGAUCAGGUAGGGAUACCCGCUGAACUUAAGCAUAUCAAUAAGCGGAGGA
rnacentral:misc_RNA from 1 species